GUCCCUGUUGCGCAAUGCAUAGCGCGUUGGACUUCCAAUCCAAAGAUCGUCGGUUCGUAUCCUACCAGGGAUG